AGCGAACGCUGGCGGCAGGCCUAACACAUGCAAGUCGAACGAACCUUUCGGGGUUAGUGGCGGACGGGUGAGUAACACGUGGGAACGUGCCUUUAGGUUCGGAAUAACUCAGGGAAACUUGUGCUAAUACCGAAUGUGCCCUUCGGGGGAAAGAUUUAUCGCCUUUAGAGCGGCCCGCGUCUGAUUAGCUAGUUGGUUGAGGUAAUGGCUCACCAAGGCGACGAUCAGUAGCUGGUCUGAGAGGAUGAUCAGCCACAUUGGGACUGAGACACGGCCCAAACUGCAGGGGGGGGGAGCGUGGGGGAGGCGGGCGACAUGGGCGAAGGCAUGACGCCGCCAUGCAGGGUGAAUGAUGAAGUUCUGAGGAUUGAAAAAUUCUUGCGCCGGGGCAGAUACAGCCGGUACCCGGAGAAGACCCCCCGGCUAACUGCGUGCCAGCAGCCGCGGUAAUAGUUGGGCGACACCCGUUCGAUC
rnacentral:rRNA from 1 species